rnacentral:misc_RNA from 1 species
AUUUGGCACCGUUCAAUUAAAUGGUGUCACCACGGAUUAUGUGGAUGACAGAAGUCGUGAGAAGACUAAAAGAAAAACUGAACUAGAAUUUUUAAAUACCUAAAACUAAGACUGCAUAAGAAAAGGAAAUUAUUCCUCUACAGGACUUUCAUCACCUGAACUGUCGCUUUCUUCAGACUCGUCCACUGCUGUGGCAUCCUCCAAGAACUCUCCCCAGUCACGCACUCCAAUUCUGCCUGGGUUACAUCUGUGCCGCGCAUACCCAAGGUACCAUACAAUGGAUGCUGUGUGAGCGCACAUGCCAACAACCCGCGCACCAGCUCUACACUUGCAAUACCAUGCAACAAUGUCACCAUCCUUGUACCUAAUCCAGAGUUGGUAGGUUUUUGAAGAAAUGUGCCUGCUCUGAAGACGUAUCCUCAAUAGUCCCUCCUCCUCCUUGUGCAUGUGGAUGGUACAGCCCCCUUCUAUGUGCUCUUGAGCAUAGCUGGCGGAUAGACGGAGCUGGUAACAUCCACACGUCAGUUCACGCAGCCUCUCCUCAUCCAACUGUGGGAAGUCAACCACCUCGCUCACUUCUCUCCAACAUACAGUCCGGCGGUCUAAAUGCUGUUCCUCCACUUGCUCCUUCAGCUGGUUGACCUGUUUGGACAGAAAUAGCAUCUUAGCUCCAAGAGCCUGGUCCUCUUCAACACUCCCACUGGCAAGGGGUUUCAAAUACCUGCAAAAAUUGCAUUUUAUUUAAACAUUAACCCAUAAUAAAAGUAUAAUUAAAAUAUUAUAAAUGUAUUAGAACUGUUUCAAGUCUUCAAUGAAAAAAAAUAGGUUAAAAGUAAAUUUUUAAUUACCUGUUGCAAAUGCUGCAUACAAUUCUGAUGUAAUCCCCUAUAAAGGGGAUCUGGCUGGAUGGCAAAAUGUAACUGAGGUAUUUCCAUUGUUUUAUUCUUGCAUUUGCGCUCUCAACAACCCAUCUUAUCUGUAAAGUAAAUUGAGGUAUGCAGAGAUAAAAUAAAAAUGUAAUUAACAUUUACAUGAUCAAUGUAAUGGCACAUGUUUAUUAUAAAGGAUAAAAAUCUAUAAUUAUAAUCUUUAUACCUAAACAUUUAUACAUAUUAAUAUCUUUAUACAUCUAUUUAUCAAUUUUUAAAUUUAUUCUUAAUUGAUGUUUUUUGUUUGGAAUUGAUAUUUUACUGACUUUUUGAGUGUGAAUACACUGUAAAGUGUUUCAAGUUGUUUUUGCCAAUUUCUAUUCAUGAUCUUUUAAAAAUUUAUACAUGUAUUUUAGUUUGGAAUUUUGAUAAUACUGGUAUUUAAAAUAUCUAUUUUGCAGAUAAUUAACUUUUUAAUUACAUUUUUAUAUAUUUU